UACAGAGGUCUCAAGCGUUGUUCGGAUUCAUUGGGCGUAAAGGGUGCGUAGGUGGCGGGGUUAGUCAGGUGUGAAAUCUCGGGGCUCAACCCCGAAACUGCACUUGAUACUGCCUUGCUAGAGUACUGGAGAGGAGAUUGGAAUUUACGGUGUAGCAGUGAAAUGCGUAGAUAUCGUAAGGAAGACCAGUGGCGAAGGCGAAUCUCUGGACAGUUACUGACACUGAGGCUCGAAGGCCAGGGGAGCAAACGGG
rnacentral:rRNA from 1 species